AGUGAACGCUGGCGGCGUGCUUAACACAUGCAAGUCGAGCGAAUUUUGGCAGCACACCGCCAAAGUUAGCGGCAGACGGGUGAGUAAUACUUGGGCAAUCUGCCCUUGAGUGGGGGACAACCUGCCGAAAGGCGGGCUAAUACCCCAUAAGACCACGGGAAUGCAUAUUCCAGAGGUCAAAGCUCCGCAAGGGGCGCUUGAGGAGGAGCCCGAGUCCUAUCAGGUAGUUGGCGGGGUAAUGGCCCACCAAGCCGUUGACGGGUAGCCGGCCUGAAAGGGCAACCGGCCACACUGGCACUGAGACACGGGCCAGACUCCUACGGGAGGCAGCAGUGGGGAAUUUGGACAAUGGGGGCAACCCUGAUCCAGCGACGCCGCGUGAAGGAUGAAGGUCUUCGGACUGUAAACUUCUUUUAGAGGGGAUGAAUGCCCUGGUGAAUAGCCAGGGGUGACAGUACCCUUUGAAUAAGCCACGGCUAACUACGUGCCAG
rnacentral:rRNA from 1 species